AGUCACUGACAUUAGAUACCCGGGUAGUCCGAGGGUGUAAACGCCGCAGACUUGGUGUUGGAAGCCCGUUUGGGGGCAUUCAGUGCCGGAGAGAAGUUGUUAAGUCUGCUACGUUGGGAGUACGUCCGCAAGGAUGAAACUUAAAGGAAUUGGCGGGGGAGCACCGCAACGGGAGGAGCGUGCGGUUUAAUUGGAUUCAACACCGUAAACUCACCAGGGAAGACUGUUACAUGAAGGCCGAGAUGAAGACUCUGCUAGAUUUUCAG
rnacentral:rRNA from 1 species